rnacentral:rRNA from 1 species
GACGUAGGGCGCGAGCGUUGUCCGGAUUUAUUGGGCGUAAAGAGCUCGUAGGCGGCUUGUCGCGUCGUCCGUGAAAACCUGCAGCUCAACUGCAGGCUUGCGGUCGAUACGGGCAGGCUAGAGUUCGGUAGGGGAGACUGGAAUUCCUGGUGUAGCGGUGAAAUGCGCAGAUAUCAGGAGGAACACCGGUGGCGAAGGCGGCAUCCUGGACCAAUACUGACACUGAAAAGCGAAAGCCAGGGGAGCAAACGGG